AGUGAACGCUGGCGGUAGGCCUAACACAUGCAAGUCGAACGGCAGCACAGUAAGAGCUUGCUCUUACGGGUGGCGAGUGGCGGACGGGUGAGGAAUACAUCGGAAUCUACUUUUUCGUGGGGGAUAACGUAGGGAAACUUACGCUAAUACCGCAUACGACCUACGGGUGAAAGCAGGGGAUCUUCGGACCUUGCGCGAUUGAAUGAGCCGAUGUCGGAUCAGCUAGUUGGCGGGGUAAAGGCCCACCAAGGCGACGAUCCGUAGCUGGUCUGAGAGGAUGAUCAGCCACACUGGAACUGAGACACGGUCCAGACUCCUACGGGAGGCAGCAGUGGGGAAUAUUGGACAAUGGGCGUAAGCCUGAUCCAGCCAUACCGCGUGGGUGAAGAAGGCCUUCGGGUUGUAAAGCCCUUUUGUUGGGAAAGAAAAGCAGCAGGUUAAUACCCCGCUGUUCUGACGGUACCCAAAGAAUAAGCACCGGCUAACUUCGUG
rnacentral:rRNA from 1 species